UACGUAGGGUGCAAGCGUUGUCCGGAAUUAUUGGGCGUAAAGGGCGCGUAGGCGGCUGAACAAGUCAAAGGUGAAAUCCCUCCGGCUCAACUGAGGAACUGCCUUUGAAACUGUUCGGCUUGAGGCCGGGAGGGGGUAGCGGAAUUCCCAGUGUAGCGGUGAAAUGCGUAGAUAUUGGGAGGAACGCCAGUGGCGAAGGCGGCUACCUGGACCAAUAUUGACGCUGAGGUGCGAAAGCGUGGGGAGCAAACAGG
rnacentral:rRNA from 1 species